UACGGAGGAUCCAAGCGUUAUCCGGAAUCAUUGGGUUUAAAGGGUUCGUAGGCGGUUUAAUAAGUCAGUGGUGAAAGCCCAUCGCUCAACGGUGGAACGGCCAUUGAUACUGUUAAACUUGAAUUAUUAGGAAGUAACUAGAAUAUGUAGUGUAGCGGUGAAAUGCUUAGAGAUUACAUGGAAUACCAAUUGCGAAGGCAGGUUACUACUAAUGGAUUGACGCUGAUGGACGAAAGCGUGGGUAGCGAACAGG
rnacentral:rRNA from 1 species